rnacentral:rRNA from 2 species
UCGCUCAACGGAUAAAAGGUACUCCGGGGAUAACAGGCUGAUACCGCCCAAGAGUUCAUAUCGACGGCGGUGUUUGGCACCUCGAUGUCGGCUCAUCACAUCCUGGGGCUGAAGUAGGUCCCAAGGGUAUGGCUGUUCGCCAUUUAAAGUGGUACGCGAGCUGGGUUUAGAACGUCGUGAGACAGUUCGGUCCCUAUCUGCCGUGGGCGCUGGAGAACUGAGGGGGGCUGCUCCUAGUACGAGAGGACCGGAGUGGACGCAUCACUGGUGUUCGGGUUGUCAUGCCAAUGGCACUGCCCGGUAGCUAAAUGCGGAAGAGAUAAGUGCUGAAAGCAUCUAAGCACGAAACUUGCCCCGAGAUGAGUUCUCCCUGACCCUUUAAGGGUCCUGAAGGAACGUUGAAGACGACGACGUUGAUAGGCCGGGUGUGUAAGCGCAGCGAUGCGUUGAGCUAACCGGUACUAAUGAACCGUGAGGCUUAACCUUACAACGCCGAAG